GACGGAGGGGGCUAGCGUUGUUCGGAAUUACUGGGCGUAAAGCGCGCGUAGGCGGCGCAUUAAGUCAGAGGUGAAAGCCCGGGGCUCAACCCCGGAAUUGCCUUUGAGACUGGUGUGCUUGAGUACGGAAGAGGUGAGUGGAAUUCCCAGUGAUAGAGGUGAAAAUUCGUAAGAUAUUGGGAAGAACACCAGUGGGCGAAAGGCGGCUCACUGGUCCGUAACUGACGCUGAGGUGCGGAAAGCGUGGGGGAGCAAAACAGGAUUCAGAUACCCCGUGUAGUCC
rnacentral:rRNA from 1 species